UCCUCCGCCGCCGCGGCCUCCGGCACUGAGCGAGGCUGCCCCGGUGCAGUAUGGAGGCGAAGGUAGGGUCCACGCAGAUUACGGGCGGCGCGUGCUCUGUGUUGGCGGAGGAGACCGAAAAGUGGAUGGAACAGGCGAUGCAAAUGGCCAAAGAAGCCCUAGAAAAUAUUGAGGUUCCUGUUGGCUGCCUUUUGGUCUACAACAAUGAAGUUGUAGGGAAGGGAAGAAAUGAAGUUAAUCAAACCAAAAAUGCUACUCGACAUGCAGAAAUGGUGGCCAUCGACCAGGCCCUAGAUUGGUGUCGUCGACAUGGCAAGAGUCCUUCUGAGGUGUUUGAACACAUGGUGCUGUACGUCACUGUGGAGCCGUGUAUCAUGUGCGCAGCCGCUCUCCGCCUGAUGAAAAUCCCGCUGGUUGUCUAUGGCUGUCAGAAUGAACGAUUUGGUGGUUGUGGCUCUGUUCUAGAUAUUGCCUCUGCUGAUCUACCGAAUACUGGGAGACCAUUUCAGUGCAUCCCUGGAUAUCGGGCUGAGGAAGCAGUGGAGAUGUUAAAGACCUUCUACAAACAAGAAAAUCCAAAUGCACCAAAAUCAAAGGUUCGGAAAAAGGAAUGUCAGAAAUCCUGAACUUGUUCUAAUGAAAGACUCAUGUUCCUGGACGACAUUCUUGGACAGAAAGCUGUUGACAUUGUUGAAUCAUUGUGUUUGCAGCAUGCUCGCCAGACGUGGAAUCUUAGAAGAGCCACUGCGAAUGCUAGAUGCAGUCUGUAGAAUUCAUUGUCUUUUAAAUUUGGAUAUCAUUCGUGACCACACACGCUUAGGAAAUGGAGUAUGCAUGUCAUUCAGAUGCUCCUGGUACAGCUCAGAGACCAGCCUGCCUUCCUGUGGUUUCCGUGGAAUCGAAAUGUUUGCAUGGGUUUCGUCAUCUCCAGAAGCCAGCUGGUCAUGCAGUGACGGCCUCGUCCUUCACCAGGAUGCCAAGUGUCGGGGGAUGAACCCAGAGACUUCAUAGAGCAGGCUGGUCCAAUUUAGGAAACGGAAUCCUCUAAAGUCAUAAGUAGAGAUGCAAAAGCCUUCAGUUGCUUCUAUGUUACUGAAAUCUUGAGAAGUGGAUCUAGAAGCACAUUCCUCCUCCUCUCCCCUCCUCAAGAAUGUGGAUGAUGGAGUCGUCUUUACACUUGCACGUAGAGAAAAGGGUAAAGCGUGAACGUCCUUUUGAGCACCGGUGGGGUUAAGCCAGAGGUUCCAAGCCAGAGGGAGAAACCGCAGGUCAUUUUUUUCUCACCCCUCGUUGAUUAUAGAGCAAGUAGUAGAGUCAUCCCAAUGGAUUCUGCUCCAGGACAAGCCUGGAGCUUCUGUGAAGGGUCAGUGGGUGCAUUGGCAGCACCUGGGCUGGGUAGGCAUGUCUUAGCACAUUCCCUGUCCCUGGCGAGACAGCCCUGGGUGUCCUGCCAGAAGUGUGGCCAGAGUUCAGGGCCUGGAGUUCCCAAAGCAAAGAUGACCCACCAUAGGAAAACCAAACCAAACCCCAAAUCUGAUCGUAUGAUCUUAUUUCAAACCUAGCAGUGAUGUAUAAAUCCAACGUGCUGCAGUAUAAGUGAGUUGAAUCAGCCUUAGGUCUAAAGCCCCACAGGUGUCAACUCCUUUAGGUGUUGGUUUGGUGGCAAAAAGUAGAAAAGUGUUAUUUGCUAAAGAAGAGGGGUAGGAACAGGGCUCCAGAUGAACCGUCCCAGAAAGUCUUUAAAAAUAUUCCAUUCCUUGAGGUUUCUUCAUUCUGAGAGUCAACUGGAGAAAUAAUUUCCUUUUAAGUGGUGGUUUUUCUUCUUUCCUGCCUUUUUUUGUUUUAAACACAUUUAAUUUUCUGUUAAUAAUAUCAAUUCUAUAGUUACAUAAAACUUUUUUUUUAAAACAUAGACCUUUCUCACUUCAGGUCAAAAUAUAACUUAUUUGAUGCUAGAUGUAACACACAAACAUCUCAGAAAAAUAAGCAACACUGUCACGGACAUCUUUAUCUGGUUUCUGACCUUAAAAGGGAAUGCCUUUGGUAUUUGAGAUGACUAUUUCUUCUCAUGAUAUGAGAUAUUUUUAUAUUACUAACGGUAUUAUCAAAAAUAAAUGUUAAAAUUUCUCAAAUGCCUUAGAGCAACUGUGAAGAGAAUCAUAUGAUUUUUUUCUUUGUGAACUAUUGAGGCAAUGUUUUUAACAAAAAUCCUAAUAUUAAGCCAGCCUUGAAUUUUUAGAAUAACUCUUACUUUUGAAAAAUGAUUUCUAUAGCGUUGGGUUUAUGUUGGUGAUAUUUUAGCUAAAGCAAGUAAAAAAGUUCUUUUUUUGCAUGUUGCCUUUGUUUUGAGGGUUUUAUUAACUUUGAAAAAUAAUUUGGGAAGUGUUUCAUCAUUCUGUAAUCUUGGAACAGUUUAAUAAACAUGAGAAUUGUUACUUGAAAGUUUUCAAGAACUUGCUCAUAAAAUACUCUGGACCCAACUCCUUUUUUGGAGCUAGUUAAUUGAACAUUAAAAAAAAAUGGCUUUCCACAGGGAGAUCAGCUCGGAGCUUUGUGACCACCUAGAGGGGUAGGAUUGGGAGGGUGGGAGAGAGAUGCAAGCGGGAGGAGAUAUGAGGAUAUAUGUUUAUGUAUAGCUGAUUCACUUUGUUAUACAGCAGAAACUAACACAUCCUUGUAAAGCAAUUAUACUCCAAUAAAGAUGUUAAAAAAAAUGGCUUUCACGAAUAUCAGUCUAUUACAGCUUUCUAAUUCUUACUGAAUCCAUUUUCCUUGAAUUUCAUUGGCUUCUAAGAAUUUGUUGUCAUAGAGCUAUAAGACAUAUUUUUAUAAUUAAAAAUUUGUUUACAUC